CGUGUGAACAGCAGUUGGACACGGGUGAGCCGACCCUAAGAGACAGGAGAGCUCCGCCGAACGUGGCCGCUUCUGUCGGCCCGUCCGUCGAAAGGGAAUCGGGUUAAUAUUCCCGAGCCAGUGCGUGGAUGGUGGGCGGCGACGCGAACGAACCCGGAGACGCCGGCGGGAGCCCUGGGGAGAGUUCUCUUUUCUUCUUAA
rnacentral:rRNA from 16 species